rnacentral:rRNA from 1 species
GACAGAGGGUGCAAACGUUGUUCGGAAUUACUGGGCGUAAAGCGUGUGUAGGCGGUCGACUAAGUCGGGUGUGGAAGCCCUGGGCUCAACCCAGGAAGUGCACUCGAAACUGGUCGGCUAGAGUAUCGGAGAGGUUGGUGGAAUUCUCGGUGUAGAGGUGAAAUUCGUAAAUAUCGAGAGGAACACCGGUGGCGAAGGCGGCCAACUGGACGAAUACUGACGCUGAGACACGAAAGCGUGGGGGGCGAACAGG